rnacentral:rRNA from 1 species
UACGUAGGGGGCAAGCGUUGUCCGGAUUUAUUGGGCGUAAAGAGCGUGUAGGCGGCCUGAAAGGUCAGCUGUGAAAACUCGAGGCUCAACCUCGAGACGUCGGUUGAAACCAUCUGGCUAGAGUCCGGAAGAGGAGAGUGGAAUUCCUGGUGUAGCGGUGAAAUGCGCAGAUAUCAGGAGGAACACCAAUGGCGAAGGCAGCUCGCUGGAACGGUACUGACGCUGAGGCGCGAAAAGCGUGGGGAGCGAACAGG